ACCGGUAGAGACCCCACCUCCUACUUAUCAACCUAAAGCACCUCCUCCACCGCCAGUUUACACUCCAGCACCAACUUAUCAUGCUCCGCCGCCCCCACCUCCUACUUAUCAGCCUAAAUCACCUCCUCCGCCGGUUUACACUCCAACACCAACUUAUCAAGCCCCGCCGCCUCCACCACCACCACCUGUUUAUGUAACAUCUCCUCCUCCUCCUCCACCUGAACAUAAACCGCCAACUACUCCAGCUCCUUCACCAGGAGCGUAUGCACCAAACCCAUCGCAUCCUCUUCCACCACCACCGCCACCCUACAAAUGUAAUGAACCACCACCACCACCACCACCUGAAUGUAACGAACCUGUCCCACCACCACCACCACCUAUUGAACAUCAUUGGCAGUCACCUCCAUCUCCUCCACCACCCAGUACUCCAUAUCACUACACCUCCCCACCACCACCAUCACCAUCGCCACCUCC
rnacentral:lncRNA from 1 species